rnacentral:rRNA from 1 species
UACGUAGGGUGCAAGCGUUAAUCGGAAUUACUGGGCGUAAAGCGUGCGCAGGCGGUUGUGCAAGACAGAUGUGAAAUCCCCCGGGCUCAACCUGGGAAUUGCAUUUGUGACUGCACGGCUAGAGUGUGUCAGAGGGGGGUAGAAUUCCACGUGUAGCAGUGAAAUGCGUAGAUAUGCGGAGGAACACCGAUGGCGAAGGCAAUCCCCUGGGCCUGCACUGACGCUCAUGCACGAAGCGUGGGA